rnacentral:rRNA from 1 species
AACGAACGCUGGCGGCGUGCUUAACACAUGCAAGUCGUGCGUGAAAGGGGCUUCGGCCCUGAGUAAAGCGGCAGACGGGUGAGUAACACGUGGGUAACCUACCCCUUGGCGGGGGAUAACCACUCGAAAGGGUGGCUAAUACCGCAUAAGACCACGUCCCUGCGGGGAUGAGGUAAAAGGCUUCGGCCGCCAUGGGAGGGGCCCGCGGCUGAUUAGCUAGUUGGUGAGGUAACGGCUCACCAAGGCUACGAUCAGUAGCUGGUCUGAGAGGAUGAUCAGCCACACCGGUACUUAGACACGGACCAGACUCCUACGGGAGGCAGCAGUGGGGAAUAUUGCGCAAUGGGCGAAAGCCUGACGCAGCAACGCCGCGUGGGUGAAGAAGGCCUUUGGGUCGUAAAGCCCUGUCAGAUGGGAAGAAACCUGCGCAAGCAGCUGACGGUACCAUCAAAGGAAGCACCGGCUAACUCCGUGCCAGCCGCCGCCGUAAAAC